AGAGAAUCGUUCCGUCAGUCGGGUCUCGGCCGCCGUCAACGUCAAUACGACGGCGCACGAGUUCAUCGUCUCGGCUCGGGUGCACCGAGCCACCUCGCGUGAAUAUCGUAGCGGAAGUGUCCGAACCGUGCGUCAGUGUUAAUUUCUGUGAACAGAUUCCGGACGAUCAUGUGAGAUUCGGUGUGACCUGGUGAAUCGCGAGCGGCGAAGUGAGCCGGGCCUGAGGCGAGCCGCUAACAUCCAGUGAGCAGCAAAACCGUCCCCACCCCGAUCCCCUAGCGAGUCGAACAGGUCGCGUGUCGUGGGACAUGCUACCUGUUGUCUAACGAAUUCUCGUUCUCACGGAUUUUCCACCAUACCCAGUGCCAAAGCAAAUUCUCCAGCGAUUUUCUGUGAUCGGAGUGCACUGGAAGACGUCUGAGAAGCCUUGAAUCGUUUCCCAGCUUCUAUCAGUGGACAAACUGAGUCAAACAUGGACAAACUGUGGUAAUAAGAGAAUUACACAGGAGAAAAAUAUUCUGUGCGUGAAUCCUCGUGGAACAAUAGUUGGUUUAAAGUGAAAGGAAUGCCUCAAACAUCGUUAAACCUCGUCAAACACGCUCGAUUUAAGUCUAUUCUCCCUGAGAAGAAUGAUGGGAACACAUAGUUCGCAGUAAUUCGAGGAAAAACGAUUAGACAGAAAAUAAUUAAACUUGAAUUGUGACAGUAUCUUCAGUUAGAGACUAACUAAUGGUAGAUUCAGUGUCUGUAUCAGUCUCCUGAUUAAUUUGCGACGAUUAACUAAGUGUCGGCCAUUUUUCCACGGUUUCCGGCCACUUCUCCGACACAAGAACCACUGGUCCACUCGAGAGCAUCAAUCAAAACGUUGCGGACCGCGGUUUGGCUCGCCAGUGACAGAUGUUCCCAGGCAAAGUUCGGUACAGAUGGUCUUGAAACUCGCAACAUCAAUCCUGAUUGGGAUUUAAAGGAGUCCGUGAACUGUGGAAUAAGUUCAAUGAUCCUACAACUUAUUUAAACUUUAAGUGAAUGUCAAAGAGCUGUCGAAUCUUCAAACUUCCUAAUAAAAUCUCGUCAUUUUUGAGGAUAGCCUGAUAGAAAACUUGCGAAAGCUUCUACUGCAACCAGGAGAGUCAGCUGAAUCAACUCAUCCUUCAUUAAGCACUCAGAAACAUCUUUGAAAUUUUGUACGUGAACAAUAGAAGGGCCUACAACAUUAUCGUAUAGUACAAACGUCACUGAAAGUCACUCUCAGCAUUUCCAUACUGCGCGAAGAAUCUUUAAAGAGUGGUUUGGAACUUCGAGGAUCCAUCUGCCAAUCUCGAAGAAGACGAUGAAGAAGUAAAAAAGAAGUAGAAAGUCUCUUCCAAUCUGUAUUCGCGGUUUAGACGAAUCAAAUUUUCUUCAGCCACGAGGAACAAAUCCUUAGACAGAAGCUGCGUUCCUUGAAAUAUUUGGCAAAACUCUGACAUCCAGGGAGCCUAAUCCCAAAGCAAACUGCGGGCCCACAGCAACAUCAAAGCAUCACAAGCGAUUUGCCAAGUAGAGUUAAAACAGCGGCGAAGUUUCUGGAAGUUCAAUUUCCGGAAAUUCAGUUACACACCGGGGAAAGAACGGCAACUCCACGUUGAGGGAACUUCGAGCUUCCACGAACUCAAUAAGGGCGAAGCAAGUAAAGCACUAAGACGAGCUAGUGGGCGACAGACUCCUGGACAGUUUUUGCUAAGACGAUGGUUCUUGGCUAACAAGAACUGGGACGCAACGGUGAAUCCAUGAGGCUCUUAAAGGUCUCUGGAGAUCUGGGGAAGGGGAAGCGAUGAAGACAAGGUCGUUGGGAGAGACCCACACCAGUGUUAAUUAAAAUAAGCGGAAGAUCCUCCUUUAACAAGGCAGUACAUGAUAUCCUCUAUCCAGUUCUAGUAGUCCCCGAGGAUUCCUGAAUCCGCAGGAGACUAUUAAGACCCGACCUAUCGCGCCUAAGCUCCAAGUACAAGGUCUACAAUUUAAUCACAGGCAACAGACUAGGCUGCCCAUAAUCUAGGUCGAAUCUGCCAUCUAAAAAACAGGAUCCAACAGGAAUCCAAGCUCAGAGCUAGACAAUCAGCUAACUUGGACGAAGUCUAAACACUGAAUAGGUACUGAGCAAAGACCGAAGAUUAUCCCAAUCUACCACAUCCAUCAUCUAAGAUUUAAGGUUCUAGCUUAUAGAUACCAUAAACCUUAUAGAUAACCUCACCCAAUUUAAAUCAACUGUACACUCGAACCAGAAGCCCUAAUCAAAGACUCCAGUCUAGACUACCCUCAUCUAGUCUAUCAUCCAAAACAGAUUCUACUUGGAGUUUCACCCCAGUGGCAAGCUACUUACCAGCUAGACAGAAUCUAGGCCAAGCCUAUCAUCAAGAAAAAGUGUCUAGCGUUGGUCUGGGCUAGCAGAGGGCCAUGUAGCCCACGAAAUCUGACUGAGGAAGGCCUGGCUGGAAUCCGCAGUGAGAGGAAAAGGCGCGAGGAGAACCUGGUGUAGCCGGCCCUGGAUGUUUUGACGCUAAGUGGCGCUAGGGUGCCGAGGUGGGGGGCGCGUGGUCUUGCUGCCUGCCGU